UGUGAAACUCAAAGGAAUUGACGGGGGCCCGCACAAGCGGUGGAGUAUGUGGUUUAAUUCGAAGCAACGCGAAGAACCUUACCAGGCUUUGACAUGGAUAUAAAUGUUCUAGAGAUAGAAAGAUAGCUAUAUAUCACACAGGUGGUGCAUGGUUGUCGUCAGCUCGUGUCGUGAGAUGUUGGGUUAAGUCCCGCAACGAGCGCAACCCUUGUCUUCUGUUACCAGCAUUAAGUUGGGGACUCAGGAGAGACUGCCGGUGACAAACCGGAGGAAGGUGGGGAUGACGUCAAAUCAUCAUGCCCCUUAUGGCCUGGGCUACACACGUACUACAAUGGCGCCUACAAAGAGCAGCGACACCGCGAGGUGGAGCGAAUCUCAUAAAGGGCGUCUCAGUUCGGAUUGAAGUCUGCAACUCGACUUCAUGAAGUCGGAGUCGCUAGUAAUCGCAGAUCAGCAUGCUGCGGUGAAUACGUUCUCGGGCCUUGUACACACCGCCCGUC
rnacentral:rRNA from 1 species